UGAGGAAUAUUGGUCAAUGGGCGUGAGCCUGAACCAGCCAAGUAGCGUGCAGGAAGACGGCCCUAUGGGUUGUAAACUGCUUUUAUGCGGGGAUAAAGGAGUCCACGUGUGGAUUUUUGCAGGUACCGCAUGAAUAAGGACCGGCUAAUUCCGUGCCAGCAGCCGCGGUAAUACGGAAGGUCCGGGCGUUAUCCGGAUUUAUUGGGUUUAAAGGGAGCGUAGGCCGCGUUUUAAGCGUGUUGUGAAAUGUAGACGCCCAACGUCUGCAUCGCAGCGCGAACUGGGACGCUUGAGUACGCGCAACGUUGGCGGAAUUCGUCGUGUAGCGGUGAGAUGCUUAGAUAUGACGAGGAACUCCGAUUGCGAAGGCAGCUGACGGGAGCGGCACUGACGCUUAAGCUCGAAGGUGCGGGUAUCAAACAGG
rnacentral:rRNA from 1 species